UCAUCUGCGUACAGGUGGUAGGAAGAAGU
rnacentral:sRNA from 1 species